rnacentral:rRNA from 1 species
GAUGAACGCUGGCGGCGUGCCUAAUACAUGCAAGUCGAGCGAACAGACGAGGAGCUUGCUCCUCUGACGUUAGCGGCGGACGGGUGAGUAACACGUGGAUAACCUACCUAUAAGACUGGGAUAACUUCGGGAAACCGGAGCUAAUACCGGAUAAUAUAUUGAACCGCAUGGUUCAAUAGUGAAAGACGGUUUUGAUGUCACUUAUAGAUGGAUCCGCGCCGCAUUAGCUAGUUGGUAAGGUAACGGCUUACCAAGGCAACGAUGCGUAGCCGACCCGAGAGGGUGAUCGGCCACACUGGAACUGAGACACGGUCCAGACUCCUACGGGAGGCAGCAGUAGGGAAUCUUCCGCAAUGGGCGAAAGCUUGACGGAGCAACGCCGCGUGAGUGAUGAAGGUCUUCGGAUCGUAAAACUCUGUUAUUAGGGAAGAACAAAUGUGUAAGUAACUAUGCACGUCUUGACGGUACCUAAUCAGAAAGCCACGGCCAACUACGUG